AAUCCAUAGGUUAAUGAGGCGAACCGGGGGAACUGAAACAUCUAAGUACCCCGAGGAAAAGAAAUCAACCGAGAUUCCCCCAGUAGCGGCGAGCGAACGGGGAGGAGCCCAGAGCCUGAAUCAGCAUGUGUGUUAGUGGAAGCGUCUGGAAAGGCGCGCGAUACAGGGUGACAGCCCCGUACACAAAAGCGCAUGUGCUGUGAGCUCGAUGAGUAGGGCGGGACACGUGGUAUCCUGUCUGAAUAUGGGGGGACCAUCCUCCAAGGCUAAAUACUCCUGACUGACCGAUAGUGAACCAGUACCGUGAGGGAAAGGCGAAAAGAACCCCGGCGAGGGGAGUGAAAAAGAACCUGAAACCGUGUACGUACAAGCAGUGGGAGCACAGGUUUACCUGUGUGACUGCGUACCUUUUGUAUAAUGGGUCAGCGACUUAUAUUCUGUAGCAAGGUUAACCGAAUAGGGGAGCCGUAGGGAAACCGAGUCUUAACCGGGCGUUAAGUUGCAGGGUAUAGACCCGAAACCCGGUGAUCUAGCCAUGGGC
rnacentral:rRNA from 1 species